GAAAGGUGGUCUAAUACUUCAUAAUAUCCAUCUCGUAUGGAUUAAAGCUUUAUGCGCUUUGGGAGGGGCCUGCGUAACAUUAGCUUGUUGGUGAGGUAAAAGCUCACCAAGGCUUCGAUGUUUAACUGGUUUGAGAGGAUGACCAGUCACACUGGGACUGAGAUACGGCCCAGACUCCUACGGGAGGCAGCAGUAAGGAAUCUUCCACAAUGGGGCAACCCUGAUGGAGCAAUACCGCGUGCAGGAUGAAGCGUUUCGGCGUGUAAACUGCUUUUAUCACCGAAGAUUAUGACUGUAGGUGAAGAAUAAGGACCGGCUAACUACGUG
rnacentral:rRNA from 1 species